UACAGAGGUCUCAAGCGUUGUUCGGAUUCAUUGGGCGUAAAGGGUGUGUAGGUGGCGCCGUAAGUGGGGUGUGAAAUCUCGGGGCUUAACUCCGAAACUGCAUUCCAUACUGCGGUGCUUGAGGACUGGAGAGGAGACUGGAAUUCAUGGUGUAGCAGUGAAAUGCGUAGAGAUCAUGAGGAAGACCAGUGGCGAAGGCGGGUCUCUGGACAGUUCCUGACACUGAGACACGAAGGCCAGGGGAGCAAACGGG
rnacentral:rRNA from 1 species